rnacentral:rRNA from 1 species
UACGUAGGGGGCUAGCGUUGUCCGGAAUCAUUGGGCGUAAAGCGCGUGUAGGCGGUCCGGUAAGUCCGCUGUGAAAGUCGGGGGCUCAACCCUCGGAUGCCGGUGGAUACUGUCGGGCUUGAGUACGGAAGAGGCGAGUGGAAUUCCUGGUGUAGUGGUGAAAUGCGUAGAGAUCAGGCGGAACACCCGUGGCGAAGGCGGCCAGCUGGGCCGUCCCUGACGCUGAGGCGCGAAGGCGUGGGGAGCGAACGGG